rnacentral:lncRNA from 1 species
CAGGGAGAAACCAUAAGGACAAAAGAAUAAGAUUGUCUUACCAGGAAUGGAGUCUGAAUAUAGGCAAACGGGGCUCCACCACAGGAAGAUGCUUGUUUAAAAAAAAACCUGCCUCAGAAAGGGCUUGUGGCCCAAUGCAUAGAAGUCAAUAGUCAGCUUUUGACAAAAAGAAAAGCUUGAAAUCAUGAAAUCAAGUCAACCAAAAGGAAGGCAGAAGCUGAAGAAGAAGAAAGCUGUAAUGUGCAUUGGAUCAGCUUGGGGUGGUGGAGACUAAUCUGGUUGCUUUUGACUGUCACUGGAUCAUCAUCAAUGAGGAAAUAAAUGAUGUGGAUGUUCAGGAACUUGUCAGAAGGUCCAUUGGAAGGUUAACAAUUAUUCGGCAGACAUUUCCAGUCCCCCAGAAUAUAAGUCAGCGC